rnacentral:rRNA from 1 species
AUUGAACGCUGGCGGCAUGCCUUACACAUGCAAGUCGAACGGCAUCGCGGGAAAGCUUGCUUUCCUGGCGGCGAGUGGCGAACGGGUGAGUAACACAUCGGAACGUACCGGCUAGUGGGGGAUAACCCGUCGAAAGACGGGCUAAUACCGCAUACGCUCUUCGGAGGAAAGCAGGGGACCUUUGGGCCUUGCGCUAGCCGAGCGGCCGAUGUCCGAUUAGCUAGUUGGUGGGGUAAAGGCCUACCAAGGCGACGAUCGGUAGCGGGUCUGAGAGGACGAUCCGCCCCACGGGGACUGAGACACGGCCCAGACUCCUACGGGAGGCAGCAGUGGGGAAGCUUGGACAAGGGGGGCAACCCUGACCCAGCAAGGCCGGGUGGGUGAAGAAGGCCUUCGGGUUGUAAAGCCCUUUGGGCAGGGAAAAAAUCGGGGGGGCGAAUAACCCUGCUGGAUGGCGGUACCGGCAGAAGAAGCACCGGCAAACUACGG